AUACGGAGGGUGCAAGCGUUAUUCGGAAUCACUGGGCGUAAAGGACGCGUAGGCGGGUUGGCAAGUCAGAUGUGAAAUCCUACAGCUUAACUGUAGAACUGCAUUUGAAACUACUAACCUAGAGUAUGGGAGGGGGAGAUGGAAUUAGUGGUGUAGGGGUAAAAUCCGUAGAUAUCACUAGGAAUACCAAAAGCGAAGGCGAUCUCCUGGAACAUAACUGACGCUAAGGCGUGAAAGCGUGGGGAGCAAACAGGAUUAGAAACCCUAGUAGUCC
rnacentral:rRNA from 1 species